GACGAACGCUGGCGGCGCGCCUAAUACAUGCAAGUCGAACGGGCAGGCUUCGGUCUGUCAGUGGCGGACGGGUGAGUAACACGUGGGUGAUCUGCCCUUCGGUGGGGAAGUAACUCUGGGAAACCGAGAGCUAAUACCGCAUAUGCUUACUAUUUCAUUAUAGUAAGUAAAGAUAUAUUGCCGAAAGAGGAGCCUGCGCCGGAUUAGCUAGUCGGUGGGGUAAUGGCCUACCGAGGCAACGAUCCGUAGCUGGUCUGAGAGGACGACCA
rnacentral:rRNA from 1 species